rnacentral:rRNA from 1 species
UACGUAGGGUGCGAGCGUUAAUCGGAAUUACUGGGCGUAAAGUGUGCGCAGGCGGCCGAGCAAGUCGAGUGUGAAAGCCCCGGGCUUAACUUGGGAAUUGCGCUCGAAACUACUUGGCUGGAGUGUGGCAGAGGAAGGUGGAAUUCCAGGUGUAGCGGUGAAAUGCGUAGAUAUCAGGAGGAAUACCGAUGGCGAAGGCAGGUCUCUGGGCUGACACUGACGCUCAUGCACGAAAGCGUGGGGAGCAAACAGG